rnacentral:rRNA from 1 species
UACAGAGGUCUCAAGCGUUGUUCGGAUUCAUUGGGCGUAAAGGGUGCGUAGGCGGCGCGGUAAGUCGGGUGUGAAAUCUCGGAGCUUAACUCCGAAACUGCAUUCGAUACUGCCGUGCUUGAGGACUGGAGAGGAGAUUGGAAUUUACGGUGUAGCGGUGAAAUGCGUAGAUAUCGUAAGGAAGACCAGUGGCGAAGGCGGGUCUCUGGACAGUUCCUGACGCUGAGGCACGAAAGCCAGGGGAGCAAACGGG